UCUGAACACGUAGAUCAGUUCAAAUGGAUCUUCGAAGUAUAUAUUUGUCGGGCCUGCCUUGUUAAUGUCUUGCUCGAACAAGUCUAAAAAUACGAAGCAAUAAUUUUCAGCACUUCGAUGCGAAGAAUACAAAUAUUCUAACUAACGAUUUCUUCGCUAAAUAUUAUAUCGUUUGUUAAAUAUUACUACUAAAUGUUCCUCACUACAAAACUACAACUAGCGCUUUGGAUAUUUUACACAUCUUUGCAUAUUCUGUCGCAUUUUUCUAUAUUGUUAGAAUUUCGUGUCGUUUAGAAUUGUCAAAGCUAAGAAACGUUCUUGAAGAUUAUUCCAAGACUCCUUUCGCAACGAUGAAUGAAAAAUAAAUCUCGAAAGGAAAAAGGUAAGUAUAAAGGUAUGGCAUAAUUAAUAAAACCUCCAUGCAAGACAUUAACGAAAUAUCUUCUAACAUAGAAUCUUUUCCAAGGUAAAGAAAGCAUACAAAUGUAGAAUAAUGCGAAUUACCUAUGAGAACGUCAAGCGAAGCAACUUCGUCAACCAUUCUGUAUCGACCGAAUAAAUCAUCAGCUCUGUGAAGGAUGCUUUCUCCAGAAUCAGUGCGAUGAAUCCAGUCGUGUUCCGCCCGCCAAGCGAGCGGAGACACCUGAUAGAGGAAUCUUUGACACAUCUUCACUGUCCUCCAGCUCUCCUCCCAAUGCCAACUGUAGAAUCUUCAUGCUCUCCUCGUGAUCCGUCGAAAGGAACUCCUCGAAACCGCUCACGUAUCGACGAAAUCGUCGCUGACAUUCUAAUACAAGACGUAGGAAUUUGAUCUGCAAAGACCAGACCUUGAUCUCAUCGAGUCGUUUCUGCUCCUCGACGAAUUGUUGGUCUAUACGAAUACAAUCGUCCAUUUCUUGUCCAGCUAGCAACCGAACCUUUAAAAUCUCACGAGUGUCCUCUACGUAGUUGCGCACAGAAAAUUUUUCUCCGACUAGUCCUCCAUCCAAUUCCGAGAAAUACUGCGGAUCUACGUCGGUCAUGGCUAUAGCUUCUUCCAAAUCUUUGUGUUUCUUCGCCUCUAGAGCCUCGAUGUCCACGUCCACCUUGCAACAUAAUCGUACAACUCGUAUCAAGGGCGCUCUUACCUGAAGAAGCCUUUCUGAGACUUUCUGGUGGACGCUGAUUUCUUUCGGGUCUUCUGGCUGAUCUGGCGUCGUCUAGAAGAUGUCGACGUUGGAUCGGUCAUGUCUCCCGUAAUUCAGCGCAGCGUGCUUUAUUCAAACUGUCAGCUUUUCACCUGGCCGGCCGUUCACCUGCGUCGCUGUAGAAAAGACUCCGCUUUUCAUCUGAUCGCAAUGGUCAAAGGCAAGCACCAACAGAGAUGGCUCGCGUUUGCAUAAAACUUUUCUCUUCUCAAAUGUCUGAAGAAGAAUUGAAACAUUGAAGAAUCUACCAAAGAAGAAGAUUAUCGAGGUGCAGGAAUAACAUAGAACAUAAAUGAAUCGACAAUGACAGUUUCACGGAUGUAUCGAAAAUGCAAGUUGAAAUGCAAAAUAAUCUCUUAUUACGCUGAAGCUUGAAGAUUCUCGAGAUACACUUGAGAGCAAACUUAAUUGAUACUCAUGAGUUUCGAAAUUUCUGCUAAAAUUCCUCUGAGAGCAUCGACGAAGGAAGUCUACAUUUAAAAAAGACAAGUUUAUCACGAGGAAUAAAAGAACGCAUUCUAUUCAUCAAAGUGUCUUUUCAUGGACUGUUUCAAUCUUCUCAUAUCUAAAACCUUCAAAGUAUCACGUACCAAACAUGGGAAUUGAUCACUGUAACACUGCGUAUAAUAAUUCUUCCAAAAAAGCAACUAUAUAAAACAAUAUAAUCCUAUAUAACAAUUUCUGCCUUCUAAGACAACUUCUAUAUCCUUCUAUGUAUAGAAUUCUUGCCAAGGCAACAAGUUCUCAACAAGAGAUACAACAUUAAGACAUCAAAAAAUGAAUAAAUUGCAGAUUCCUAUCUCUGUCUGCGAGGCAGUGUUGAAAUGGAACAAGGAAUCGGAUGCAUCCUCUAGCGAUCCAGUGAAAAGUUGAUCCCUUAAAGAUCCGGGCACGCCCGGGAGCAACGAAUUCCGAUUCAAAGCUUGAAAAAGCUACUUACUUUCUAAA